GAUGAACGCUAGCCACAGGCUUAACACAUGCAAGUCGAGGGGAAACGAUAGAGAAAGCUUGCUUUUUCUAGGCGUCGACCGGCGCACGGGUGAGUAACGCGUAUCCAACCUGCCCACCACUUGGGGAUAACCUUGCGAAAGUAAGACUAAUACCCAAUGAUAUCUCAAGAAGACAUCUGAAUGAGAUUAAAGAUUUAUCGGUGAUGGAUGGGGAUGCGUCUGAUUAGCUUGUUGGCGGGGUAACGGCCCACCAAGGCGACGAUCAGUAGGGGUUCUGAGAGGAAGGUCCCCCACAGUGGAACUGGGACACGGUCCAAGCUCCUACGGGAGGCAGCAGUGAGGAAUAUUGGUCAAUGGGCUAGAGCCUGAACCAGCCAAGUAGCGUGCAGGAUGACGGCCCUAUGGGUUGUAAACUGCUUUUAUAAGGGAAUAAAGUGAGUCUCGUGAGACUUUUUGCAUGUACCUUAUGAAUAAGGACCGGCUAAUUCCGUGCCAGCAGCCGCCGUAA
rnacentral:rRNA from 1 species